rnacentral:misc_RNA from 1 species
UCGCAGCGUCAGCAUCGCAAUCAUCUGAUUCGACGUUACACAACGUCUUGAAUCAAUCAAUCACUCAAGAUCCUCUGGACCAAAAGGAGCUGAUUCUCUCCCAAGACGACAACGGUCGUACUCAUCCGACGGAAGGCACCGCUUCAACUCAAUUGCCGAUUCCGGCGUAUACCACGCGGAGCUCACCGCAUGACACUCGCAACGUGUCAACUACCCGAGAUCGGACAACCACGCUCACAGC